CUUUAACAGAUAAUUUUUAAGAAUGCAUGUCCUUGCUUUCUCUGUGGAGACACACGUUAGUGAUCCCAGGAGGGGAAAUAAACAUACGUUUUUAAAUGAAGAUAUUUAAAAUGUACCCCAUAUUUCAGCAUGUUGCUGUAACCUGGUCUUUUUUAUGUUCCUCCUAUAAAACCUAAAUUAAGCCUCUUAGGAGUGGUUUUGCUGCAGGUUUCAACUAAAAACACAAUACAUUUUAAAUGGUUCCAGUACUUGAGUGCACUUUAACAUGUAAUCACUAAUGUGCAUUCUCUUCCUCUCUCUUCCAAGCACCAGUCCUUCUAAAAGGAUGAGACUUCUUUAAAAUUUAGCUUCAUUUGAAAUGUAAACUUUUAACAAAUAGUAAUUGCUUCUGUAGCUCUAUUGAUGAAGUGACUGGCAGCAAAUCUUUUCUUUCUUUUUUUUCCCCCCUCUCUCUGUAACAUUUUGAAAUACCCAUCAGUGUCAAAGAAAACUGCACACGCCUCCUUUGGUGCUCUAAAUAAGGCUCAGCAAUGUUAAGAAAAAUGUCAGAAAAAGCUCAGUGGAUUAAAGGAACAUUUCUGCAUCAUGUCAAGGAGGAUGGCAGGGCAGACUGGUCUGCAUAAUUUUGAAAGAUAUUUUUUGUAAAACGCGUACUCUUAUGAACCAAAUGAAAUUUUAUUUGGAAAGAUUUGAUAUUGUAUUUGAUAACAUACAACCUUCAGUUGUUUUUCUAAAUCUUGUUAUUUUUUAAAUAUGUCUUUGGUAUGUAUUCUUUACAUUAGAACUGUAAUACACUCAUCUUUUGGUAGAAUGUUCCUGUACCCGGGUGCAGCGUUAAAAUACAUUUCAGACUCUUUCAUGCAUUUUUCUUUUCUUUCUAAAAUUCUUGGAAUGUUCACUCAGCGGAAGCAGUGAAAAUGCUCGGCUCUUCCACAUGCAAAUUUAUUGAACUAGUCAGUCAUUUUUCCCCUUAAAUAAAAUGUGUGUAUAGUUUUGGAGAUUUUCAAAAAAUAAAUCAUUUACAUGCAUUUGUGUAUUAAAAAUAAAUUGCUGGUGUGAUGUUUUUAGUUUGUUUUGUUCUAUUUUACUAAAGAAUAUGCAAUAGUCACAAAAUAGUGCAACGACAGUAAAAUAUUCCACAGUAUUGUAACUACGUAAUUAAAACAACGUCAGAAAACACCUUACAAAUUUAAUACUAGAUACCACCAGAAAUGGCAAGAUUAGUUUUACAGAAACAAGGUUGUGGAAAACUGGGACUUACCCCAAAGCCGCAAAGCAGGCAAUCACGAAGAGUAUUUGGGUAAGAAUGCAAUCUGAAGAGGAAAAAAAGAAAAAUGAGGAAGAAUAUCAGCAAAUAACAGUAAAACUUUCAAAUUACUUUUCAAAUGGCCCUGUAAUUAUGGUUUUCACAAGAAUGAAAGAAAAAAACGCCCUUCAAAUUUUGGAAGAAAUAUAAAGAAGAACUCUUUGGAAGGAAGGAAAAAACAAAGGAAGGGAGGGA
rnacentral:lncRNA from 1 species